UGGGGAAUCUUGCGCAAUGGCCGCAAGGCUGACGCAGCGACGCCGCGUGUGGGAUGACGGCCUUCGGGUUGUAAACCACUGUCGGGAGGAACGAAUACUCGGCUUCGAAUAGGAGCCCGAGGGUGACGGUACCUCCAAAGGAAGCACCGGCUAACUCCGUGCCAGCAGCCGCGGUAAUACGGAGGGUGCGAGCGUUGUCCGGAAUCACUGGGCGUAAAGGGCGCGUAGGUGGCCCGUUAAGUGGCUGGUGAAAUCCCGGGGCUCAACUCCGGGGCUGCCGGUCAGACUGGCGAGCUAGAGCACGGUAGGGGCAGAUGGAAUUCCCGGUGUAGCGGUGGAAUGCGUAGAUAUCGGGAAGAAUACCAGUGGCGAAGGCGUUCUGCUGGGCCGUUGCUGACACUGAGGCGCGACAGCGUGGGGAGCAAACAG
rnacentral:rRNA from 1 species